rnacentral:rRNA from 1 species
GUUUGAUCCUGGCUCAGGACGAACGCUGGCGGCGUGCUUAACACAUGCAAGUCGAGCGGAAAGGCCCUUCGGGGUACUCGAGCGGCGAACGGGUGAGUAACACGUGAGCAAUCUGCCCUUAGCUUUGGGAUAACCCUCGGAAACGGGGGCUAAUACCGAAUGGUUACUGCCUGACGCAUGUUGGGUGGUGGAAAGUUUUUCGGCUAGGGAUGAGCUCGCGGCCUAUCAGCUUGUUGGUGGGGUAAUGGCCUACCAAGGCGACGACGGGUAGCCGGCCUGAGAGGGCGACCGGCCACACUGGGACUGAGACACGGCCCAGACUCCUACGGGAGGCAGCAGUGGGAAUAUUGCACAAUGGGCGAAAGCCUGAUGCAGCGACGCCGCGUGAGGGAUGACGGCCUUCGGGUUGUAAACCUCUUUCAGCAGGGACGAAGCGAAAGUGACGGUACCUGCAGAAGAAGCGCCGGCCAACUACGUGCCAGCAGCCGCGGUAAGACGUAGGGCGCAAGCGUUGUCCGGAAUUAUUGGGCGUAAAGAGCUCGUAGGCGGCUUGUUGCGUCGACUGUGAAAACCCGUGGCUCAACCAUGUGGUCUGCAGUCGAUACGGGCAGGCUAGAAUUCGGUAGGGGAGACUGGAAUUCCUGGUGUAGCGGUGAAAUGCGCAGAUAUCAGGAGGAACACCGGUGGCGAAGGCGGGUCUCUGGGCCGAUAUUGACGCUGAGGAGCGAAAGCGUGGGGAGCGAACAGGAUUAGAUACCCUGGUAGUCCACGCUGUAAACGUUGGGCGCUAGGUGUGGGGGGCCUCUCCGGUCCUCUGUGCCGCAGCUAACGCAUUAAGCGCCCCGCCUGGGGAGUACGGCCGCAAGGCUAAAACUCAAAGGAAUUGAUGG